rnacentral:rRNA from 2 species
UGCAAGUCGAACGGAAAGGCCCCUUCGGGGGUACUCGAGUGGCGAACGGGUGAGUAACACGUGGGCAAUCUGCCCUGCACUUCGGGAUAAGCCUGGGAAACUGGGUCUAAUACCGGAUAGGACCUUUAGGCGCAUGUCUUUAGGUGGAAAGCUUUUGCGGUGUGGGAUGGGCCCGCGGCCUAUCAGCUUGUUGGUGGGGUGAUGGCCUACCAAGGCGACGACGGGUAGCCGGCCUGAGAGGGUGUCCGGCCACACUGGGACUGAGAUACGGCCCAGACUCCUACGGGAGGCAGCAGUGGGGAAUAUUGCACAAUGGGCGCAAGCCUGAUGCAGCGACGCCGCGUGGGGGAUGACGGCCUUCGGGUUGUAAACCUCUUUCACCAUCGACGAAGGUUCGGGUUUUCUCGGAUUGACGGUAGGUGGAGAAGAAGCACCGGCCAACUACGUGCCAGCAGCCGCGGUAAUACGUAGGGUGCGAGCGUUGUCCGGAAUUACUGGGCGUAAAGAGCUCGUAGGUGGUUU